rnacentral:rRNA from 1 species
UACAGAGGUCUCAAGCGUUGUUCGGAAUCACUGGGCGUAAAGGGUGCGUAGGCCGCACGGCAAGUCAGAGGUGAAAUCCCGGAGCUCAACUUCGGAAUUGCCUCCGAUACUCCCGUGCUUGAGGACUGGAGAGGAGUCUGGAAUUCACAGUGGAGCAGUGAAAUGCGUAGAUAUUGUGAGGAACACUAGUGGCGAAGGCGAGACUCUGGACAGUUCCUGACGCUGAGGCACGAAGGCCAGGGGAGCAAACGGG